rnacentral:rRNA from 1 species
GACGAACGCUGGCGGCGUGCCUAAUACAUGCAAGUCGAACGAACGGAUAAAGAGCUUGCUCUUUUGAAGUUAGUGGCGGACGGGUGAGUAACACGUGGGUAACCUGCCUCACAGCUGGGGAUAACAUCGAGAAAUCGAUGCUAAUACCGAAUGUGCUGAACAUCAUAAGAUGUUCAAGUGAAAGACGGUUUCGGCUGUCACUGAGAGAUGGACCCGCGCUGGAUUAGCUAGUUGGUAAGGUAAUGGCUUACCAAGGCGACGAUCCAUAGCCGACCUGAGAGGGUGAUCGGCCACAUUGGGACUGAGACACGGCCCAAACUCCUACGGGAGGCAGCAGUAGGGAAUCUUCGGCAAUGGACGAAAGUCUGACCGAGCAACGCCGCGUGAGCGAAGAAGGCCUUCGGGUCGUAAAGCUCUGUUGUUAGAGAAGAACAUGGGUGAGAGUAACUGUUCACCCCUUGACGGUAUCUAACCAGAAAGCCACGGCUAACUACGUG